UACGUAGGGCGCAAGCGUUGUCCGGAAUUAUUGGGCGUAAAGAGCUCGUAGGCGGUUUGUCGCGUCUGCUGUGAAAGCCCGGGGCUCAACCCCGGGUCUGCAGUGGGUACGGGCAGACUGGAGUGCAGUAGGGGAGACUGGAAUUCCUGGUGUAGCGGUGAAAUGCGCAGAUAUCAGGAGGAACACCGAUGGCGAAGGCAGGUCUCUGGGCUGUAACUGACGCCGAGGAGCGAAAGCAUGGGGAGCGAACAGG
rnacentral:rRNA from 1 species